UACGUAGGGGGCAAGCGUUGUCCGGAUUUAUUGGGCGUAAAGCGCGCGUAGGCGGAUUGCUAAGUCAGGGGUGAAAUCCUGGAGCUCAACUCCAGAACUGCCUUUGAUACUGGCGGUCUCGAGUCCGGGAGAGGUGAGUGGAACUGCGAGUGUAGAGGUGAAAUUCGUAGAUAUUCGCAAGAACACCAGUGGCGAAGGCGGCUUACUGGUCCGGUUCUGACGCUGAGGCGCGAAAGCGUGGGGAGCAAACAGG
rnacentral:rRNA from 1 species